rnacentral:rRNA from 1 species
GAUGAACGCUGGCGGCGUGCUUAACACAUGCAAGUCGAACGAAGCAUUUAAGACGGUUUACUUCGGUUUGAGGUCUUUUAUGACUGAGUGGCGGACGGGUGAGUAACGCGUGGGUAACCUGCCUCAUACAGGGGGAUAGCAGCUGGAAACGGCUGGUAAUACCGCAUAAGCGCACAGUACCACAUGGUACAGUGUGAAAAACUCGGGUGGUAUGAGAUGGACCCGCGUCUGAUUAGCUUGUUGGCGGGGUAACGGCCCACCAAGGCGACGAUCAGUAGCCGACCUGAGAGGCUGCCCGGCCACUUUUGGGCUGAGACACGGCCCAGACUCCUACGCGAGGCAGCAGUGGGUAAUAUUGCACAAUGGAGUAAACUCUGAUGCAGCGACGCCGGGUGAGUGAAGAAGUAGUUCGCUAUGUAAAGCUCUAUCAGCAGGGAAGAUAGUGACGGUACCUGACCAAGAAGCCCCGGCUAACUACGUG